CGAAGGUAGCGCAAUCACUUGUCUCUUAAAUGGGGACCUGUAUGAAUGGCAUAACGAGGGUUUAACUGUCUCCUUUCCCAAGUUAAUGAAAUUGAUCCCCCCGUGCAGAAGCGGGGAUAAGAACAUAAGACGAGAAGACCCUAUGGAGCUUUAGGGCAACAAGCAGACCGUACCAAACAACCCUUAUAAAGGAACUAAACAUGCGUAAACCUGUCCUAUGCCUUUGGUUGGGGCGACCGCGGGGAAACAAAAAACCCCCAUGUGGAAUGGGACUACCCGUCCCUCAAAAAAGAGCCCCCGCUCUAAAAAAACAGAACAUCUGACCUUAAGAUCCGGCAAAGCCGAUCGACGAACCGAGUUACCCUAGGGAUAACAGCGCAAUCCCCUUACAGAGCCCAUAUCGACAAGGGGGUUUACGACCUCGAUGUUGGAUCAGGAUAUCCCAAUGGUGCAGCCGCUAUUAAAGGUUCGU
rnacentral:rRNA from 1 species